AUUGAACGCUGGCGGCAUGCCUUACACAUGCAAGUCGAACGGCAGCACGGGAGCUUGCUCCUGGUGGCGAGUGGCGAACGGGUGAGUAAUACAUCGGAACGUACCCUGAAGUGGGGGAUAACGUAGCGAAAGUUACGCUAAUACCGCAUAUUCUGUGAGCAGGAAAGAGGGGGAUCGCAAGACCUCUUGCUUUAGGAGCGGCCGAUGUCGGAUUAGCUAGUUGGUGAGGUAAAGGCUCACCAAGGCGACGAUCCGUAGCGGGUCUGAGAGGAUGAUCCGCCACACUGGGACUGAGACACGGCCCAGACUCCUACGGGAGGCAGCAGUGGGGAAUUUUGGACAAUGGGCGCAAGCCUGAUCCAGCCAUGCCGCGUGAGUGAAGAAGGCCUGGUUGUAAGCUCUUCGUGGGAGAAUGCACAGGAUAAUACCUUGUGUAGAUGACGGUA
rnacentral:rRNA from 1 species